rnacentral:rRNA from 1 species
UACGGAGGGUGCAAGCGUUAUCCGGAUUCACUGGGUUUAAAGGGUGCGUAGGUGGGCAGGUAAGUCAGUGGUGAAAUCUCCGGGCUUAACCCGGAAACUGCCGUUGAUACUAUCUGUCUUGAAUAUAGUGGAGGUGAGCGGAAUAUGUCAUGUAGCGGUGAAAUGCUUAGAUAUGACAUAGAACAUCGAUUGCGAAGGCAGCUCGCUACGCUAUUAUUGACGCUGAGGCACGAAAGCGUGGGGAUCAAACAGG